UACACGACCGUACCGCAAACCGACACUGGUGCGCGAGAUGAGUAUUCUAAGGCGCUUGAGAGAACUCAGGAGAAGGAACUCGGCAAAUUGACACCGUAACUUCGGAAGAAGGUGUGCCUUUAGUAGGUGAACCAUUUACUUGGGGAGCCCAAUGAGGCUGCAAAAAAUCGGUGGCUGCAACUGUUUAUUAAAAACACAGCACUCUGCUAAGACGAAAGUCGACGUAUAGGGUGUGACGCCUGCCCGGUGCUGGAAGAUUAAAUGAUGGGGUGCAAGCUCUUGAUUGAAGUCCCAGUAAACGGCGGCCGUAACAAUAACGGUCCUAAGGUAGCGAAAUUCCUUGUCGGGUAAGUUCCGACCUGCACGAAUGGCGUAAUGAUGGCCACACUGUCUCCUCCUGAGACUCAGCGAAGUUGAAAUGUUUGUGAUGAUGCAAUCUCCCCGCGGAAAGAAAAAGACCCCAUGAACCUUUACUGUAGCUUUGUAUUGGACUUUGAACAGAUCUGUGUAGGAUAGGUGGGAGGCUUUGAAGUGUGGUCGCUAGAUCGCAUGGAGCCAACGUUGAAAUACCACCCUGGUGUGUUUGAGGUUCUAACCUAGGUCCAUUAUCUGGAUCGGGGACAGUGCAUGGUAGGCAGUUUGACUGGGGCGGUCUCCUCCCAAAGUGUAACGGAGGAGUUCGAAGGUACGCUAGGUACGGUCGGACAUCGUGCUAAUAGUGCAAUGGCAUAAGCGUGCUUAACUGCGAGACUGACAAGUCGAGCAGAUGCGAAAGCAGGACAUAGUGAUCCGGUGGUUCUGUAUGGAAGGGCCAUCGCUCAACGGAUAAAAGGUACUCUGGGGAUAACAGGCUGAUACCGCCCAAGAGUUCAUAUCGACGGCGGUGUUUGGCACCUCGAUGUCGGCUCAUCUCAUCCUGGGGCUGUAGCCGGUCCCAAGGGUAUGGCUGUUCGCCAUUUAAAGAGGUACGUGAGCUGGGUUUAAAACGUCGUGAGACAGUUUGGUCCCUAUCUUCCGUGGGCGCUGCAGAUUUGAGGAAGCCUGCUCCUAGUACGAGAGGACCGGAGUGGACGAACCUCUGGUGUAUCGGUUGUCACGCCAGUGGCAUUGCCGAGUAGCUAAGUUCGGAAGAGAUAACCGCUGAAAGCAUCUAAGCGGGAAACUCGUUUCAAGAUUAGAUCUGCCGGGGCCUUGAGCCCCCUAAAGAGUCGUUCAAGACCAGGACGUUGAUAGGCCAGGUGUGGAAGCUAAAAG
rnacentral:rRNA from 1 species